GAUGAACGCUAGCUACAGGCUUAACACAUGCAAGUCGAGGGGAAACGAUAUUGGAAGCUUGCUUCCGAUAGGCGUCGACCGGCGCACGGGUGAGUAACGCGUAUCCAACCUGCCCACCACUUGGGGAUAACCUUGCGAAAGUAAGACUAAUACCCAAUGACGUCUCUAGAAGACAUCUGAAAGGGAUUAAAGAUUUAUCGGUGAUGGAUGGGGAUGCGUCUGAUUAGCUUGUUGGCGGGGUAACGGCUCACCAAGGCUACGAUCAGUAGGGGUUCUGAGAGGAAGGUCCCCCACAUUGGAACUGAGACACGGUCCAAACUCCUACGGGAGGCAGCAGUGAGGAAUAUUGGUCAAUGGGCGAGAGCCUGAACCAGCCAAGUAGCGUGCAGGAUGACGGCCCUAUGGGUUGUAAACUGCUUUUAUGCGGGGAUAAAGUGGGCCACGCGUGGCCUUUUGCAGGUACCGCAUGAAUAAGGACCGGCUAAUUCCGUG
rnacentral:rRNA from 1 species